GCAAAGAGAAGGGAAGAUGAAGCCACCAUUUUGAGCCUGCUUGUUCCCAGGGAUGAACUGACUGUCAAAGCUGUUUCCUUGGAAUCCUGGGGUUUGUAAUAGAAUCAUUCAGCUCUGCUACUCAAAGAGAAUUUAAAUGAAGACAACUGCUGGGAGCCAUCUUCACUUCCUUUUUCCAGAUGCAUCUGAAAACACCAAACCAUUCUGUCGUUUUCAAAAGUUAAGUCCUAGAGUAUUUCCAGUUACUUUGAGCAAGAAAAUAUCUAAAGACCUCGCAGGCAAACGGAACCAAGAUGAGGCCAUUGUGUAUCAAUGCAUCCAAGAAAGAACCUCUACAGAGAACCAGGACCUCAGGACUCUUCCACUGAAUAAUGUGGAGCAUGAUUUAUUGAGCUGUUUGUUUGGUAUUCCUACUGUUAUGGAUGGCUCAAAAACAAAUGAACAAACAGGUAUUUUUUUAGGCUGGGUGCGAUGGCUCAUGCCUGUAAUCCCAGCAUUUUGGGAGGCCGAGGCAGGCAGAUCACCCGAAAUCAGGAGUUUGAGACCAGCCUGGCCAACAUAGUGAAACCCCAUCUCUACUAAACGUGCAAAAAUUAGCCGGGUGUGCGCACCUGUAAUCCCAGCUACUCAAAAGUCUGAGGCAGGAG
rnacentral:lncRNA from 1 species